rnacentral:rRNA from 1 species
AUGAACGCUAGCUACAGGCUUAACACAUGCAAGUCGAGGGGCAGCAUGGUCUUAGCUUGCUAAGGCCGAUGGCGACCGGCGCACGGGUGAGUAACACGUAUCCAACCUGCCGUCUACUCUUGGACAGCCUUCUGAAAGGAAGAUUAAUACAAGAUGGCAUCAUGAGUCCGCAUGUUCACAUGAUUAAAGGUAUUCCGGUAGACGAUGGGGAUGCGUUCCAUUAGAUAGUAGGCGGGGUAACGGCCCACCUAGUCUUCGAUGGAUAGGGGUUCUGAGAGGAAGGUCCCCCACAUUGGAACUGAGACACGGUCCAAACUCCUACGGGAGGCAGCAGUGAGGAAUAUUGGUCAAUGGGCGAGAGCCUGAACCAGCCAAGUAGCGUGAAGGAUGACUGCCCUAUGGGUUGUAAACUUCUUUUAUAAAGGAAUAAAGUCGGGUAUGGAUACCCGUUUGCAUGUACUUUAUGAAUAAGGAUCGGCUAACUCCGUGCCAGCAGCCGCGGUAAUACGGAGGAUCCGAGCGUUAUCCGGAUUUAUUGGGUUUAAAGGGAGCGUAGGCGGACGCUUAAGUCAGUUGUGAAAGUUUGCGGCUCAACCGUAAAAUUGCAGUUGAUACUGGAUAUCUUGAGUGCAGUUGAGGCAGGCGGAAUUCGUGGUGUAGCGGUGAAAUGCUUAGAUAUCACGAAGAACUCCGAUUGCGAAGGCAGCCUGCUAAGCUGCAACUGACAUUGAGGCUCGAAAGUGUGGGUAUCAAACAGGAUUAGAUACCCUGGUAGUCCACACGGUAAACGAUGAAUACUCGCUGUUUGCGAUAUACAGCAAGCGGCCAAGCGAAAGCGUUAAGUAUUCCACCUGGGGAGUACGCCGGCAACGGUGAAACUCAAAGGAAUUGACGGGGGCCCGCACAAGCGGAGGAACAUGUGGUUUAAUUCGAUGAUACGCGAGGAACCUUACCCGGGCUUAAAUUGCAGAUGAAUUACGGUGAAAGCCGUAAGCCGCAAGGCAUCUGUGAAGGUGCUGCAUGGUUGUCGUCAGCUCGUGCCGUGAGGUGUCGGCUUAAGUGCCAUAACGAGCGCAACCCUUGUUGUCAGUUACUAACAGGUUCCGCUGAGGACUCUGACAAGACUGCCAUCGUAAGAUGUGAGGAAGGUGGGGAUGACGUCAAAUCAGCACGGCCCUUACGUCCGGGGCUACACACGUGUUACAAUGGGGGGUACAGAGGGCCGCUACCACGCGAGUGGAUGCCAAUCCCCAAAACCUCUCUCAGUUCGGACUGGAGUCUGCAACCCGACUCCACGAAGCUGGAUUCGCUAGUAAUCGCGCAUCAGCCACGGCGCGGUGAAUACGUUCCCGGGCCUUGUACACACCGCCCGUCAAGCCAUGGGAGCCGGGGGUACCUGAAGUGCGUAACCGCGAGGAGCGCCCUAGGGUAAAACUGGUGACUGGGGCU